CUCUGUCACCUAGGCUGGAGUGCAGUGGCACAAUCCCAGCUCACUGCAACCUCCACCUCCUGGGCUCAAGCAAUUAUCCUGUCUCUGUCUUCUGAGUGGCUGAGACUACAGGCCUGCACCACUGUGUCCAGCUAAUUUUGUAUUUUCAGUAGAGACAGGGUUUCCCUAUGUUGCCCAGGCCGAUCUCUAACUCCUGAGCUCAGGUGAUCCGGCUGCCUCACCGCCUCCCAAAAUUCUGGAAUUACUGGCCUGAACCACCUUGCCUGGCCUCCAGGAAGGAUUCUACCUGAUGACUCUCCAGCCUCGAAAGCAGAAGUAGUAUAGUUUCUGAGAAAGUUUGUUUGCAUUGCUUAGGAUUUGUAACAAGCCUCUUUAAAAAAGGAUAGGAAGAAGCCCAAGGGCAUUAAUAAGAGGCGAUAAGGGAGCCUAACUUCCCUGUUUGGCUAUUAUACUUUGCAAAAUCACUUCGAAUCUCCAAAGAGGAGGAGAUUUCUACUCUUUCAAGUUGCUAGGGCACCCACAGAUCUGCUUAUUUCACGCAGCAUCUCUCUGCCCUUACAAUCUUUCCACUCCACCUCACCAUCCUCUUUUAGCACAAUUAGUGAGCUCUUUUCUAUGUGUGUUCCACACAAUUCCCUUUUGUCUUAUGUUGGGAGGUUGCUGAAAUCCCUUUGAGAAACAGGUCACUGUUAUUCUGACAGGUGGCCAGCUUUAAGCCUGCCAUCAUCUCCAUCAUUUAAGUAAAUAAAUACCGUGACCCAGGUCUUAAGUAGGGAGAAACGGAAGCUGGGAGGAUUUGGGAUUUGUCAAUUGUAGAUGAAACACUUGCUGUGUCUCAGAAUAAUGCCCCAUCCCCACGCUCACCCAGCAAGGAUGUACAGCUUUGGCAGAGUCAACAUCCAGGUUGAUAUAUAUGCAUGACUUAUGUACAUCUUUUGAUCACUAUCUUUCUCGAAAUUAUGAAUUAAUAGAUUUGUCUUCUCUGAUGUCGGCACAGCCUUGAGCAAAGGGAACAGGUUCUACUGUGAGAACAAAGUUGGAGACAUAAGGAGGAGUGUGAGAGUACCACAGACAGGUAGAAGCAGAGACUCUGCAGCAUGCCAUUCCAUGUGCCCUGAAGCUCUGAGGAAUUGCAAAAGGUCUAACUUGGCUGAAGGCAAAGCUCCAAGGUUAGUAAGGAGAGCCGAUUGCCGGACUCUGCAUCACCAACUGAGUACCUGGGUGUGCUUCAUGCUCUC
rnacentral:lncRNA from 13 species